CAGCUCAGAUGUUGGAGGACGACUUCAACCGAGGCUCACAGAGACGGUGGACGCCGAGACCAAAGGGGGCCGGACGGCGAGACCGGACCUCGCUUUGUUCACACAAACACAGCAGUGCACUGUGUUCAGAAAGAAACCAAGCUCAGGUCCAUGAAGACUGGCCGAGUAACGAGGGAUCUGCAGGACCAGGACUGCAGGCUGACCAGGAAGACCGGAUGUGGAACAUCUCGUCCUGCUCAGAAUGAGGAGCUCACAUCCGUCCUGUAAAUCCUGCCGACUUUAUCUAAAGAUGUUCUGAUGAAACCAGCGCUGAGAACUUCACGUCCAACAAAAACAGACGGAACACGAGCGGCUAAAGUAAAGGAGGCUAACGCGGUUCCAACCUUCAUCAGAUCAACAUCAACUACGGGGAUUGUUUGCUUGUCCCAAACCCGAGCAUGUGACAUCUUACCCCCCCAGACUGAACAUGAAAGGUCUCCACAAUCGUUCGGUGGGUUAACCUCCCACAAUUCAACCCUCAAUGAUGAAUGUCACUCAGUAAAAGCUCU